ensembl:lncRNA LINC02675 long intergenic non-protein coding RNA 2675
AGCCUUGCUUGUUUUCUCUGAACCGCAAUAGGAUGGUGUUCACAGCGAUUCAAAGGGUGGCAUUGGGUUGGACGUUUUGGUUACGAGCCAGCCUAUUCCCACAUUGUACGUGAAUGUUUAAUGUGCUCUCAAAACAUGGAAAAUAAGUUUAGUGCACAUAGCUAAAUCACAAAACAUCCGAUUUCUGUUUCCUCAGGAAGUCAUUACUGCGCCACCACAUCACGUGACCUUAACAUGAUCAAUGUAUUUCUCUGCCUUGACAUUUAAAUAAACUAUAUAAAUUAAGAUAAGUAGAUUAGAAAAUCAUUCAAAUUAUACCAUAAUCUGUACAAAUAUUGUGUCCCCUGCCAGGCAAGGGACAGGGUGCCGGCGACGGCCGCGUGGCCAAGGCCCCGCAGGAAAGCUCCCAGGUCUCCCUCACUCUCCAGGUGCCCUUUGCACCCAACAGUGCGUGUGAGGAACGAACUGCUGUUUGAACGUCCCCUGAGAUUGUGCGUAGCCCCGUGUAAAUGUAAUAGCCUCCAUGGCUUAAUUGGCUAUCAAGCGAAUUUUCCCAGAUGAAAGCAAUGUUGGGUUAGGGGACGACGGUGCAGCCACCCAGCCUUUACCAGCAGCGUGCUGCAGACGAAGGCAGUCAAGGUGUGGAGGUGAUCACGCAGGUGCAGCUCAGUUGCCGUGAUGCUCCUUGAGUCAAUGAGCUCUUUGGUCUGCUCUUCUGCUCAAGCAGAAAAGGAUUGGCACUUCACCCUUGAGAAGCUGACAAGAACCACAGGCUUCUUCAGGCAGGUGGUGGAACAUGGGUGUAUCCUGCAGGUGCUCACAGUAUCUCCCUUUGCUCAGGCUCUAGCCUGAUUUUCUGGCUCAUAAGGCCAAAGGGAGCUGGAAAAGUCCCCACGGCAGGACUCAUGGUGGAGAGAGAAUGAUCUAGAGGAUUCAGGCCUCUGCAUACUGUGUCUGGGUCCCUCCUUAAAGAAUGAUAAAGACAAGUAAAGAGCUUGAAGCAGCCUGGAGUCCAGCCAGAAACCUUUAACUGAGCUUUAAAGGAGAUGGUCACAACACUUUUCAGAAUACUGGCAAAGGCCUCCUGUGGCCAGGUUUGUCCUGGGAUGAGCAAAAUUUAAUGUUAACCUGCUGUAUCUUUGCUUUUAAUAUAUCUGCUUGCCCAUCACAAUGAUGUUAUGGUUAAUUUCACCAAUUUGGUAACCUGCCUCUUGGGAAGUACGAAAGUAAGCAAGGGCCAGGUGUGGUGACUCACGCCUGUAAUCCCAGUACUUUGGGUGGCUGAGGCGGGUGGAUUGCUUGAGCCCAGGAGUUCAAGACCAACCUGGGCACCAUGACAAAACCCCGUCUCUACAAAAUAUACAAAAAUUAACCAGGAGUGGCAGUGCAUGGCUGUAAUCCCAGCUACUCGGAGGCUGAGGUGGGAGAAUCUCUUGAGCCUGGGAGGCAGAGGUUGCAGUGAGCUGAGAUCACACCACUGCAUUCCAGCCUGGGCAAUGAAGUGAGACCCUGUCUCAAAAAAAAAAAAAAAAAAAAAGAGAGAGAAAGACAGUGAGGGUGUCCUGUGAAUCAAAUCUUUGAAUGGAUGUUUUCUUAACUAACCAAGACCUCUGUAAGAAUUCUGUCUUUGAUUCCACAAUAAAGUGGUGUGAAAUUACUAUAAGCAAA